rnacentral:tmRNA from 1 species
UUGCAAAUUGAAAGCUUUUUUGUUAUAUUUUGUGGUGCUGAGAUUUUCAGCUAUGACACUAGAGGCGGUAUGAAAUAGGUAUGUUGGACCCGAGGGCAGUACUCGGCACCUCCACCAUUUCAACUCAAAGUAGACAAAUGUUUUGCUGCGCAGACGUUUUAAGUGAUAUUGACCUUGAGCGCAAACCUGCGAAAAAUAUUACGCAUGAAAACAUUUAUAUAGUUUUUUGGGGGUGAAACAGGUUAGACAGUGUACAAUAAAGAUGCUUUGCUGUGUUCGGUGAGAUACCACCGUUAUCGGUUCAAAAUAAAUAAACGCAAAUGAUAAUUUUGCACCUGUUGCUGUCGCUGCAUAAGGCUAAAGCAACAAACUAAAAUUCUUUGAAAUUUGGUUUUUUCAAAGUGGGGAUUGGGCCGCCUAGCAACAGAAUGGCCC